rnacentral:rRNA from 1 species
UACGUAGGGUGCAAGCGUUGUCCGGAAUUAUUGGGCGUAAAGAGCUUGUAGGCGGUUUGUCGCGUCUGCUGUGAAAUUUCGGGGCUCAACCCCGAACUUGCAGUGGGUACGGGCAGACUAGAGUGAUGUAGGGGAGACUGGAAUUCCUGGUGUAGCGGUGAAAUGCGUAGAUAUCUGGAGGAACACCGGUGGCGAAGGCGGCAUCCUGGACCAAUAUUGACGCUGAGGAGCGAAAGCCAGGGGAGCAAACGGG